rnacentral:rRNA from 1 species
GGGACAACAGUUGGAAACGACUGCUAAUACCGCAUAAUGUCUACGGACCAAAGGGGGCUUCGGCUCUCGCCUUUAGAUUGGCCCAAGUGGGAUUAGCUAGUUGGUGAGGUAAUGGCUCACCAAGGCGACGAUCCCUAGCUGGUUUGAGAGGAUGAUCAGCCACACUGGGACUGAGACACGGCCCAGACUCCUACGGGAGGCAGCAGUGGGGAAUAUUGCACAAUGGGCGCAAGCCUGAUGCAGCCAUGCCGCGUGUGUGAAGAAGGCCUUCGGGUUGUAAAGCACUUUCAGUCAGGAGGAAAGGUUAACGGUUAAUACCCGUUAGCUGUGACGUUACUGACAGAAGAAGCACCGGCUAACUCCGUGCCAGCAGCCGCGGUAAUACGGAGGGUGCGAGCGUUAAUCGGAAUUACUGGGCGUAAAGCGUACGCAGGCGGUUUGUUAAGCGAGAUGUGAAAGCCCCGGGCUCAACCUGGGAACUGCAUUUCGAACUGGCAAACUAGAGUGUGAUAGAGGGUGGUAGAAUUUCAGGUGUAGCGGUGAAAUGCGUAGAGAUCUGAAGGAAUACCGAUGGCGAAGGCAGCCACCUGGGUCAACACUGACGCUCAUGUACGAAAGCGUGGGGAGCAAACGGGAUUAGAUACCCCGGUAGUCCACGCCGUAAACGAUGUCUACUAGAAGCUCGGAGCCUCGGUUCUGUUUUUCAAAGCUAACGCAUUAAGUAGACCGCCUGGGGAGUACGGCCGCAAGGUUAAAACUCAAAUGAAUUGACGGGGGCCCGCACAAGCGGUGGAGCAUGUGGUUUAAUUCGAUGCAACGCGAAGAACCUUACCUACACUUGACAUACAGAGAACUUACCAGAGAUGGUUUGGUGCCUUCGGGAACUCUGAUACAGGUGCUG